rnacentral:rRNA from 1 species
UACGUAGGGGGCAAGCGUUGUCCGGAAUUAUUGGGCGUAAAGAGCGCGUAGGCGGUCCGAUAAGUCGGCUGUGAAAGUCGGGGGCUCAACCCUCGAAUGCCGGUGGAUACUGUCGGGCUAGAGUGCGGAAGAGGCGAGUGGAAUUCCUGGUGUAGCGGUGAAAUGCGCAGAUAUCAGGAGGAACACCGAUUGCGAAGGCAGCUCGCUGGGACGUAACUGACGCUGAGACGCGAAAGCGUGGGGAGCAAACAGG